GAGGGUGCAGCUCAAGUGGUAGAGCAUGUGCUUAGCAUGCAUGAGGUCCUGGGUUCAAUCCCCAAUACCGCCU
rnacentral:tRNA from 1 species